GAUGAACGCUGGCGGCGUGCCUAAUACAUGCAAGUCGAGCGAACAGACGAGGAGCUUGCUCCUUUGACGUUAGCGGCGGACGGGUGAGUAACACGUGGGUAACCUACCUAUAAGACUGGGAUAACUUCGGGAAACCGGAGCUAAUACCGGAUAAUAUUUCGAACCGCAUGGUUCGAUAAUGAAAGAUGGCUUUGCUAUCACUUAUAGAUGGACCUGCGCCGUAUUAGCUAGUUGGUAAGGUAACGGCUUACCAAGGCAACGAUACGUAGCCGACCUGAGAGGGUGAUCGGCCACACUGGAACUGAGACACGGUCCAGACUCCUACGGGAGGCAGCAGUAGGGAAUCUUCCGCAAUGGGCGAAAGCCUGACGGAGCAACGCCGCGUGAGUGAUGAAGGUCUUCGGAUCGUAAAACUCUGUUAUUAGGGAAGAACAAACGUGUAAGUAACUGUGCACGUCUUGACGGUACCUAAUCAGAAAGCCACGGCUAACUACGUG
rnacentral:rRNA from 1 species